rnacentral:rRNA from 1 species
GAUGAACGCUGGCGGCGUGCCUAAUACAUGCAAGUCGAGCGAACAGAUAAGGAGCUUGCUCCUUUGACGUUAGCGGCGGACGGGUGAGUAACACGUGGAUAACCUACCUAUAAGACUGGGAUAACUUCGGGAAACCGGAGCUAAUACCGGAUAACAUAUUGAACCGCAUGGUUCAAUAGUGAAAGGCGGCUUUGCUGUCACUUAUAGAUGGAUCCGCGCCGUAUUAGCUAGUUGGUAAGGUAACGGCUUACCAAGGCAACGAUGCGUAGCCGACCUGAGAGGGUGAUCGGCCACACUGGAACUGAGACACGGUCCAGACUCCUACGGGAGGCAGCAGUAGGGAAUCUUCCGCAAUGGGCGAAAGCCUGACGGAGCAACGCCGCGUGAGUGAUGAAGGUCUUCGGAUCGUAAAACUCUGUUAUCAGGGAAGAACAAAUGUGUAAGUAACUGUGCACGUCUUGACGGUACCUGAUCAGAAAGCCACGGCUAACUACGUG